ACGGGAGCCUGGGGUGCACUCUGGGUGAGACCAUUUUGUGGGAGGGGGGUUUCCUAUAUUUCAUUGAAUUUCAUUUAUUUAAUUUAGAAUUUUAAUAGAGCACAAGGAACUAUGAAGAAUAGAUUAUUAUUUAUGGUUAUGUGCAAAUCUUGUGUGUGCAACAUGUAAGGAAAAAACGAACAGAAAAACUUCUCCGUUUUCUACCGUACCGGCCGCUAUUUGGAAUGGUCCAAGUAACCGUCUCUCAGAAGAACUUUCAGAAGAGCUCGAGCUCCGUUGACGACGAGACUUGCGACCAUAGACUGUCCGUGCUUGCGACUGAAGAAAUUUGCUUCAACAACACUGGCCAGUUCUCCUCUUUGUGGUGAGGCAGGUCUGCUAUGCUAGAAAUGGCUAGGACCGGCGGCUUACCCAGCAGGCCUUCAGCGAAUUGGUGAAAAAUUGGCGUCGGUACGCCCCUUAGCGUGUCGGGGGAAAGAAAAGGAACUAGAUCCUCCACUUCAGGAUUGAAGUCUUUUUUUUUUCUGUUGUUACUGACACAAUAAAACAACAAUAACAAACAA